rnacentral:tRNA from 1 species
UCCUCGGUAGCUCAGUAGGUAGAGCGUUCGGCUGUUAACCGAAUUGUCACAGGUUCGAGUCCUGUCCGGGGAGCCA